GUCGAGAAUAAUUCACAAUGGACGAAAGUCUGAUGGUGCAACGCCGCGUGGAGGAUGACGGUCUUCGGAUUGUAAACUCCUGUCAUCCGGGAGUAAGACCUGGCUGUGAAUAGCAGACAGGGUUGAUAGUACCGGAAGAGGAAGGGACGGCUAACUUCGUGCCAGCAGCCGCGGUAAUACGAAGGUCCCGAGCGUUGUUCGGAAUCACUGGGCGUAAAGGGAGCGUAGGCGGCGGGGUAAGUCAGAUGUGAAAUCCCGGGGCUCAACCUCGGAACUGCAUCGGAUACUGCCAUGCUUGAGGGCUGGAGAGGUAACUGGAAUUCUCGGUGUAGCAGUGAAAUGCGUGGAUAGCGAGAGGAACACUCGUGGCGAAGGCGAGUUACUGGACAGCAUCUGACGCUGAGGCACGAAGGCCAGGGGAGCGAAAGGGAUUAGAAACCCUGGUAGUCC
rnacentral:rRNA from 1 species